AAGACUAUAGACCUGCGGAGUACCUGCGGAAGGAUCAUUACAGGACUCGCAAGACUCCUACAACCCUGUGAACUUAACUAUAAGCACGUUGCUUCGGCGGGUGUCUCGGCGAGGGUUCUCCCUCCCCGGGGCGCUAAGCCCGCCGGCAGCCUACUAUACUCUGUCUCUUUGCGUUGGCAUCUCGAGUACAAACAAACAAGUUAAAACUUUCAACAAUGGAUCUCUAGAUCGGAAGAGCAC
rnacentral:misc_RNA from 1 species